rnacentral:ncRNA from 2 species
AGGAUAAAUAUUGCUAGUACUCGUAUAAUAUUGAGAAUAAGGCUCGAGAGUUUCUACCAGAUGGCCGUAAACUAUCUGACUACGGGUGGAAGUGUACCUAGG